GCUGAAUCGAGUAUCGAGUGCGCGACGGGAACAAUUUUUCUGGUUUCUUGGUGUAGUUUUAAUAAAAGGUUGUUGUUUGUUUUGUAGAGUUUCGAUAGCAAGCGGCAGUAAAAAAAUCGACCUGAUCCAAUCCUGCGAAAAAUUUUGAGCAAAAGAUCAUGACUGAUAAGGAUCCAGCGAAAGCACCCAAAAUCGUUUCCUAACAGCAGCUUAUCAAGAAGCAAACGUUAACGCCGAAUCAGCAGCGCGGGACUCUAAAAUCGAUGAAAAAUCAAGGGAAAGAGAAACGACCGUCCGAACUACCGCGCUGCCGUUGCAAGUCUCUCGUGUACACCUGAAGAAUACAAAUAGCCACGGUAAACUUUUCCGCGAAACUUGUGGUUGCGUUGUAGCGGCUUUUCUUACAGCUACCAGAUAGCAGAAGCAAGGGGAAGAUUUGUUAAUGCCGCGCUCGGCCUGGUGAACGUAAAUAAAGCGACCCAACGUGUUCUGGCAUAGAAGAUCAAAAAUGCGAUGUAUUGUAAAGAACAUACUGAAUCAUUGAUGAUAUUUUGAGAAAGAUUUACGCUGGUAAAAAUUAAAAAUAAUUUGCCUUAAA